ensembl:lncRNA
CGCGUCCUGCCGCCCUUCCAGAGGGACACGGGGGUGGGCUCGGGGCCGGGCCGGGGACUGCAGCGGGCAUCACCGGGAGGUUUGUUUGUGUUGUGUAACCAGGGCUCGGCACGCGCGUUGGGUAACGCCGCCGACAUUUCACCUACUUUCAAGCCACUGCUGCGACGAAUCCGUUUGGCCCCAAGUUGUUUUCGCCUCCAAGGAAAGUACGUUUGCACGGCGGAGCCUCCCCACCCUCUCGCCGUAAUUCCCCGGGGCGGACGAGGAGGGAGACGGGGAUUAAAGAGUCGCAGGGACCAAGGAGCCUCUGAAGAUAUAAUCUCAUUAUCUGGAAGCACUUGCAUGAGGAACGGUUAGUUUUACGGAAGGAGAGCUGCUGCAAAAGAGAGAGAGACCUGACUUGGGUACUGAUUUGUGCCUUCCUGGUGCAGAUUUGUCAGCACAGAGCGUUCCCACAGGGCCAGCAGGCCAGGCCAAAGGCUGUGCUCCAAAAGCCACCUUCUUUACCGACUUCUGGAAUGGGAGCGCUCCUGCUGGACCCAUCAGCUUAGUCCAAUUAUUCUGUUGCCUUGUUUCUGAAACUGGCUCCAAU